GCAGGCUGACAGCUACAACCUGUAAGGCCGGUUUCCACGUGACUCUGACGUGUUUUUACUCUCUGGAUUUCUGAGGGUGUGAAGGCGUCCUCAGAUCAGAUGCAGGCAGACUCAGGACUGAAGAGGAAGAGAUGAGCAGAGUUUCCUUCUCACCUGAAGAGAGUCUGUGAGUAGACCUGAAGAGAGUCUGUGGAGGCUCUGCUAUGGAUCAGUGUGAGGACAGAGAGGAGGAAGCCCCCCCCUCUAAAAGCUCUGGGGAACAUGACAGCCAGACCAAAGCUCAGAGCCCAGAGCAAACACCACAUCCUGCUGGACCUGGACCUGAACCUGGACCUGGACCUGGACCUGGACCUGGACCUGGACCUGGACCUGGACCUG